UACGUAGGGUGCAAGCGUUGUCCGGAAUUAUUGGGCGUAAAGAGCUCGUAGGCGGUUUGUCGCGUCUGCUGUGAAAACUCGGGGCUUAACUCCGGGCCUGCAGUGGGUACGGGCAGACUAGAGUGCGGUAGGGGAGACUGGAAUUCCUGGUGUAGCGGUGAAAUGCGCAGAUAUCAGGAGGAACACCGGUGGCGAAGGCGGGUCUCUGGGCAAUUCCUGACGCUGAGGCGCGAAAGCGUGGGGAGCAAACGGG
rnacentral:rRNA from 1 species